AAAGAAAGCUUUAGACCUCUGGCAACAAGCAGGAGGUAGAGAUUUCAUCACCAGGUCUUUAAUUUCUCAUGGUUUUAGUGAAGUUAAUGUUACAACUGAACAGUGGUCCUCAGUUACACUUACAGUGUUUAAAAGUAAUAAGAAAGAGCAUCUUAAGUGGUUGAGGGUCAUCUGGGGUGAAGACCGACGUGGAGUCCGGACUGAGGUGCUUCAAGCAGGAAAAUAUGUCAGUGAAAGAGGGAGAGAUGGACAGCACAGUAUCAAGAAACAGUGUUACAGCGCACCUACGGGUGAGGAAGACGAGGACACAAGUCAGGAUGACAGGGAAAUAAGUAACACACAGCCACAGUCUGAGAUAGACACAGAAGAGUCAGACCAACAAAGUACAGAGACAGCCACCAAAAUGACAACAACAAUGAACGGAAAGGGACAAACAGGCAAG